rnacentral:rRNA from 1 species
GAUGAACGCUGGCGGCGUGCUUAACACAUGCAAGUCGAACGAGAAUCAGUGGAUCAAGGAUUCGUCUGAGUGAAGCUGAGGAAAGUGGCGGACGGGUGAGUAACGCGUGAGCAAUCUGCCUUGGAGUGGGGAAUAACGGCUGGAAACAGCCGCUAAUACCGCAUGACGCGUCUGGGAGGCAUCUCUCUGGACGCCAAAGAUUUAUCGCUCUGAGAUGAGCUCGCGUCUGAUUAGCUAGUUGGCGGGGUAACGGCCCACCAAGGCGACGAUCAGUAGCCGGCCUGAGAGGGUGAACGGCCACAUUGGGACUGAGACACGGCCCAA